AAGUCGUAACAAGGUUUCCGUAGGUGAACCUGCGGAUGGAUCAUUACCAAAGGAUUCAUUUCCAACGUAUUGUGAACUGUUUUGAAUUUACAGUCAGUGUUUUACUUGGAUCUACAGUAGUGGCAACGCUACAGUUAGGGAAGGGUAAGCACUGGCUGUACCCUAAAACACGUAUUUUUCUAAAACUGAAGUCUUUUUAGUAUUAACUAAAAACAACUUUUAGCAACGGAUCUCUUGGCUCUC
rnacentral:misc_RNA from 1 species